GAUGAAGAACGUAGCGAAAUGCGAUAAGUAGUGUGAAUUGCAGAAUUCAGUGAAUCAUCGAAUCUUUGAACGCACAUUGCGCCCUUUGGUAUUCCUUAGGGCAUGCCUGUUCGAGCGUCAUUUAAACCUUCAAGCUAAGCUUGGUGUUGGGUGACUGUCCGCUUCACGGCGGACUCGCCUCAAAAUUAUUGGCGGCCGGUACAUUGGCUUCGAGCGCAGCAGAAACGCGAACUCGGGCCCGUCGUAUUGGCUCCCAGAAGCUAUCUUCACAAUUUUGAUCUCGGAUCAGGUAGGGAUACCCGCUGAACUUAAGCAUAUCAAUAAGCGGAGGA
rnacentral:misc_RNA from 1 species